rnacentral:rRNA from 1 species
UACAGAGGGUGCAAGCGUUGUCCGGAAUUAUUGGGCGUAAAGGGUGUGUAGGUGGCGCCGUAAGUCGGGUGUGAAAUCUCGGGGCUUAACUCCGAAACUGCAUUCGAUACUGCGGUGCUUGAGGACUGGAGAGGAGACUGGAAUUUACGGUGUAGCGGUGAAAUGCGUAGAUAUCGUAAGGAAGACCAGUGGCGAAGGCGGGUCUCUGGACAGUUCCUGACGCUGAGGCACGAAGGUCAGGGGAGCAAACGGG